UGAUAUCCAAGUUGUGGGGGACAAACAUAAACCGAACUAUUUAAUCCGAAUUCUGUACUUCUACUCACUCACUUGAAAUAUUAUGAUGCAUUCUUGAAUUUCAAAGAUCUUGGCGGAACCAUUUUUCAGUCAUCUCCAGAUGACAUUGGAUUAUUAAAUUAUCAAAGCAAGCCAAAAAACAUUUCUCAUAUAAGUAUUCAUGAAUGAGGAGCCGUAAGGCGAAGACAAUUUGCAUAUGUAUGCAUUCAAGGGGAAGUAUUCAGGACUUUUCAGAAGGGGCUGCGGGGUGAAAGCAGCUGACUGCGUGAGCACAUAAAAAGGAGCUGGGCCCGGGGAGGAAAGUCAAGCACCUUGCUCAUAUUACGACAUCACACGCAUCAAAUGACACGUUUUAGCACCAGCACAAAUGCAGAGAGCAGCGCACACAGAGGCACAUACCAUGACCACGGCAACAUCAGAAGCGGCAAGCGUUAAUGCCCCCAUUGUGUAAUGCACUCUAGAAAAAAAAAACAGGACACUUCUGCUCAUAUAGCAAACUCUCUUUUAAAUUGUAUGUGAUUCCUUAAGCUCUUGAUACCCAGUUUAAAUUUGCUAUAUAGUGGAUUAAAAAAAUAACUUUUAAAGCGUCAGAAAAACCUCAGAUUUAACUAUAUUACCCGGACCAAAAUCGUACUCCUAGCAGCAAGUAUUGAUAUUGACAGUUUAGUUUAUACUGUGGUAAAUUUCGUUAGAAAUAUAAAAUGGAAAAUUGACACUGCACCCGAACUCUUUCGAAAUUGAAGUAUAAGAAAAAACCCCAUGACGACGGCCUAGACUUUUACAUACCCGUUUCUCAUAUAAAGGGAGUGUGGGGGUAAUGCAUGCCAAAAAUCUGUUGUUUCAGAGAAUGCACAUUUUAUUUCCUUACAAUUUUUAAUGUACUCACAUGUCAGAUGAUGGCCGGUAACGGGUGUAUACAGAUUUUAAAAAGCCCAAAUAUAACAAUUACACUCUUUUUCGCUGUGUGGUUAUACUGCAUCUGCAGCUCCUUCUAAUACAUUUUCAAGACGUUGAUGAGCGUGGAGAGAACCGAGAUGCCGCUGCGAGUGCGCAUGGACUAAAAACCGCAUUUUUACGUGCCACGGGCUCGGAGGAAGGACGUCGGAACCUUAAAGCGCAGCUAACCGUUAAACUCUUUAAGCUGAUGCCUCUGGGCAGGCGAUGGCCGAAAGAUAUGUUCCAGGGCAGCCACUGCCAGUGCAAGUGGCCAAACCAAACAAGCAGUUACUUUGCAAUAUCUUUGAAAUUAAGAAACUCUAUACACAUCUCCUAUUCAGACGCAUAACCCUGUGCCCCUAGUAUCCAGGUUGAGUGAAGUGAGAAAUGCAAUACCCUCUUAUGUUUAUAGGAAAUUAAAUAGGCAAUCACAAACAAUCAACCGGAACGGCAACGUUCCAUAUGAAAAGGACGCCGACGGCACGAGCAUGACGCAGCGCAGGAAUCUUUCCGGCGGAGGAAAAUCUUUUUAUUUGCCUUUUUGGCUGCCGAAGGGAGCGGACAGGCAGAAAGCGGAAAAGCAUGCGGGUAGAAAGGAAAAUAACACAAAGCAUAUGCGUGGGUGGCUCCAGCCACAGAGCAACAAAGGCCAUGGAAAAUCAACAAGGAAGAGGAAAAUACAAGGUUGAGAAGUGGCCCCCAAACAUCUCCCCCGAUUGCGUGGCAGAAUAUCUUUUCAGCAAACGUAUGCUAAAGAUAACAAUGCAAUUUAGCCACUUAGUGCAUUAGCUUAUUAGACUUUGUCCCCGAAAGCGAAGCCCAUACUGAAAGAGCUGUCAUCACAUUUUCGCAACCGAUUUACAUGCGAGUAUUUGCUGAAUCAGCGCGGAAUCAUCUUCAUCAGGAGCAAGUGACCGCAGCAAAGUUUACGGGGUAAACAAGAAGUCAAAGACUGGUGAUUGAGCAGUUCAAAGUUUCUCAGCCAAAGUUGCGCUUAAGAAAUCAAAGUAACUUUCCCCACUAUUGCAAAUUCCCUUCCGCAAAGUUGGGUGUAUAUGGCUGUA